CAUCUCCAGGGACGGUGACUCCACCACCUCCCCGGGUGGGGAGGUCUAAUGACCCUUUUUUGUGAAGAAAUUUUUUUUUUCCUCUGGCACAGCUUGACACUAUGUCCUCUAGUCCUGUCACUGGUUGCCUGGGAGAAGAGACUGACCCCCACCUGGCUGCAGCCUCCUUUCAGGGAAUUGUAGAGAACGAGAAGAAGGGAGAAAGUAACAAUGAAUGGUGAAAAGCUGGAGGAGAUGCUUCAAGAGCAGCUUCAUGAACAUCAAGAUUUUCACAAACUACAUAAUUGUUACUGACUUCAGAGGUUUUUCUACAACUGGUAGGCCUGAUGAUUUCCCUGUCACAGAGGAAUAGUUUCAUAAAUUCAGAUUAAAAUUUUCUUUUGACCAUUUUCUCAUUUUU